rnacentral:rRNA from 1 species
AUGGCUCAGGAUGAACGCUAGCGGCAGGCUUAACACAUGCAAGUCGAGGGGUAACAGAGGAGCUUGCUCUUGCUGACGACCGGCGCACGGGUGCGUAACGCGUAUACAAUCUGCCUUACACUAAGGGAUAGCCCAGAGAAAUUUGGAUUAACACCUUAUAGUUUAUUUUUAUGGCAUCAUUUAAAUAAUAAAGUUUACGGUGUAAGAUGAGUAUGCGUCCCAUUAGUUUGUUGGUAAGGUAACGGCUUACCAAGACUACGAUGGGUAGGGGCCCUGAGAGGGGGAUCCCCCACACUGGUACUGAGACACGGACCAGACUCCUACGGGAGGCAGCAGUGAGGAAUAUUGGACAAUGGAGGAGACUCUGAUCCAGCCAUGCCGCGUGCAGGAAGACGGUCCUAUGGAUUGUAAACUGCUUUUAUACAGGAAGAAUAAGGACUACGUGUAGUCUGGUGACGGUACUGUAAGAAUAAGGACCGGCUAACUCCGUGCCAGCAGCCGCGGUAAUACGGAGGGUCCGAGCGUUAUCCGGAAUUAUUGGGUUUAAAGGGUCCGUAGGCGGGCUGUUAAGUCAGGGGUGAAAGUUUGCAGCUCAACUGUAGAAUUGCCUUUGAUACUGAUGGUCUUGAAUUAUUGUGAAGUGGUUAGAAUAUGUAGUGUAGCGGUGAAAUGCAUAGAUAUUACAUAGAAUACCGAUUGCGAAGGCAGAUCACUA